rnacentral:rRNA from 1 species
GUGCCAGCCGCCGCGGUAAUACAGAGGUCUCAAGCGUUGUUCGGAUUCAUUGGGCGUAAAGGGUGCGUAGGUGGCGAUGUAAGUCUGGUGUGAAAUCUCGGGGCUCAACCUCGAAAUUGCAUUGGAUACUGCGUUGCUAGAGGAUUGUAGAGGAGAGUGGAAUUCACGGUGUAGCAGUGAAAUGCGUAGAUAUCGUGAGGAAGACCAGUUGCGAAGGCGACUCUCUGGGCAAUUCCUGACACUGAGGCACGAAGGCCAGGGGAGCAAACGGGAUUAGAUACCCCGGUAGUCCUGGCAGUAAACGGUGCACGUUUGGUGUGGGCGGGUUCAGACCCCGUCCGUGCCGGAGCUAACGCGUUAAACGUGCCGCCUGGGAAGUACGGUCGCAAGAUUAAA